rnacentral:lncRNA from 1 species
ACUGCAAUUGAGGUGAAACAGCGCAAUUAUUGAGAUAUAUAGUAAUACUACAUUUAUAUUUUAUGUAAAGUUUGAUAUAUUUCGGAUGCAUGAUUCUGGCUCUUGAUGACCUGGUUUAUCGCCAUGCAAUAACACAUCACAUAGGAAGUACUACAAUAAACUAAAUUUAUUGUAUCCCUCUAAAAUAGAGGAAUAAUAUUAUAAACUAUAUAUUUAUCACUUAAUAAAGUGGGGAUUAUGUUUUUAGUUUUUCAAACUUCACAUCUUAAUUUAGUAUGUAAGUUUGGCUUGUAGCUAGGUACGAAAUCGAAGAUGCAAAUGUGAGCAUACAUAUGAUUUGGAGAAUGAUAGCUUUAAAUCCGAAAUACUUUGAAAUUUUGGUUUCUUCACUUAGUUUGUACUUUAUUUGAUGGUUAUGUGUAGCUUAUACUUUGUUUUAUAAUUAUAUCGCUUGUAGUUAUGUAUCAUAUCUUAUCGAUGAUAAAGGACAAGAAAAGUUAUAACACUACAAACUUUUUUUUUUUUUUUUGGAAGAAGACGAGCUAUAUUAUUUAUGUAAUGUCCUCCAAAAAGGUAUAAAGUCACUUAUAAGUCACUUAGGAAAAAUUAACUCUCCAAAUAAAUUAAUCGUGAACAAAGUUUAUAAUAACAAUCAACAAAGGCUUUGUGGCUUUGCAUUUAUUUAUAUUUUUUCAUAAUUGAUCUUUUCACUUUUCACUUUAUAAAUAAAGUUUAUAAUAACAAUCAACAAAGGCUUUGUGGCUUAAUGGAUAAGGUGUUAUUAGUUCAUGGAAUUUCAUUAGCAAUUUAUCUUUUCACUUUAAAAAUUAAAUUUAUAUUAUUUAUAUUUUUCAUAAUUUAUCUUCACUUAACAAAUAGAGUUUAUAAUAAUAAUCUACAAAAGUUUUCUGGUUUGAUGGAUAAGGAGUAAUACUUUUGAUAAAAUCAAAUAAGACUAUACAUUAGAGUAGAUAAAACUUUUUAUUCUUAAAAUCAAAUAAUUUUUUUAAGAGUAAAUUAAAAAAAUUUAUUCAUAAAUAAUAUUUUUCUUUCAUCUAUAUUUUUAUUUAAAAAAAAAAAACUUGUGUACGACGCACCCACAUACAAAUAAUACUUUUCAUAAAAUAAGACUUUACUUAAGAGUAAAUAAUACUUUUUAUUCUAAGUGAGACUUUGAUUAAACUAGUACUCUCACCCAUGCGAUGCACGGUAAUCAUCAAACUAUAUAUUAUAAAAUAUAUCUUUUCUAAUAUUUUGUAAGUAAACAAAAAUAUUGAUAAAAUAAAAAUUACAGUAAAAUCUACUUAAAAAUCCAAAAAUAUAAUUUAGUAAACCAACAUAAAUUUAUAUUUCUCACCAGACAACCUUACAUAUGACUCACACACACUUAACAAAAAUUUAAACAUAAAAAUAAUAGGAUUGACGUACUAAUAACUCUUUCUCGAUUCUAAGUGAUGGUGCAGACUGCAUCAUACUUAUACAAACAUUAAACAUGCACAUCUUUAGAUGUUAUAGUCGGAACAAAAAGGCAACUGGGCAAUGCAAAUCAUAAUAUACAUGUUUCCUUUAAAGGGGAUGAACAUCUUGUGUUAGUCAGUGACUAAAUCUGAGAACACAAUAAGGAAAAAAAUGUUAGUAUAAAGCAGAAAACAGAUCAUCCUAACAAUGUCUCAUGCAUGGAAGAUUUCACAUGUACAACACUAUUUUUAAUUUUGGUCAAUUUUUAGACAAACACGAAAGUUCAUAGUAUCUCAUUAGCUUAUCUCUUCUUCAACAUAUCUUUAAGAGGAACUUGAGACAAACUCAUAAUACUUUUCCCCCAAGGUCUAUACCACAUUGCAAGUAUUGUGGAGAAAAGAAUAAAGAAUACAUUUGAAAUUAAUCAUCACAAAAAAUUCUCUAAAAUUAUAAAUCCCUUCAAGUAACAUAAAGCAAAACACUGGAGUAUCUUCCACAACUAAUUCACACAUCUUAAUUCGUAUAAAUUAACAUUUCAAUCAAAAAACUAAAAUAAGAGUUCAAAACUCAAUUUACUUAGAGCGUGAAAUAGAGAUAGACUUGAACUUUAAUCCCCUAUAUUUUCACUUCUAUAAAGAUAUGGAAAUCAUCACCUAUAAAAAGUUUAAUUGACCCUAAAAUGAGAAAUAAAUUAAGAUUCUACAAGUUCUCACAGCAAUGCCGGUGGUGAAUUUAUGUACGGUGGGCUUGAGAUCCACUACUGGUACAUUGAUUNGGUUCUUUAUAAUAUUAGUGUGAGAAUUGCAUCAAGAAUCAUAUUCAGCUAAAUUGAGAAAAUACUUACAUAUAUAUAUAUGAAUCGAUGUGAUGUUUCUGUCAUGUUCAAGAUCAUCAUUUAAUUAAGCUACUUUAAUUAGUUUUGAAUCCAGCAAAAAUCUGGUUACAAAGAACGUAUGUUGUACGUGUUAUUAAUUGUUGGCCUAAUUAAAAUACAUUAUGUUUUUUAGCAGAGAGCGUGGAUUGUGCACGCAAUCCAUGAACUUCACAUUAAUAAAUUAUUAGAGUUGAAUAAUUGUAUUAAAUUUCAUAAUAUCAAAAAAUUUAAAAAAUUAUUCUUUCCAUGGUUAAUAUAAAAUCAAAGAUAGAUUUUUAAUAUAUAGUAUUUAAUAUAUUCUUAUAGUAUUUUGUGCCAAGAGCACUUUUUAUAGUAUAGAUUAAUACCCAAAGUUUAGAUGAUAAUAUAUAAUUGUUGAGAGUAUUUUGAAAUGCACAAACUUCAUUUGUUUAUAAGUUUGUGGCCUCUUGAAGCAUGCGACAACUCAUCCAAAGGCAUGAUCACCAAACAGAGAAAUGCAAGCUACUUAGGCAACAACCCCUUUGCAUUCAGGUAAUCGCAUAACUUUUUAUUUUUUAUUUUACCACUCUGAGUAAUAGUAAUCAAUGUCUAUAUUGUGUUGAUUGAAACAUAUACUAUUCAUCACUAAUUAACGCAGUAAUUCUUUUGACAUAUAAGUUUCAAAUUUGAUCUGAUCAUAUCUUAACUAGUAAUUAAAUAUGUUAUUCAUAUUCUAUAUACAGAUGUAUGUUAUAAAUAACUUCUGAGAUAUCAGCUACGUGUAAAAUUUGAUAACUAUAUUUACCUCAUGAUGUGCAUGCAUAUUAAUUUUUACUUAUCUCCACUUGUUUGUUUACUACAAUAUUUUCUGAUAGUUUUGAUUGAAUGAACUAAUUUCUGAGGAAAAUCAGUAGUCAUGUUGUGUGUUAUCUAGAACCAGCAUGAUUGAUUGUACUGAUAAAUAUACUGUUAUUUCUUUUAAUUCUUUUUACUUAAUUAGAAGAUUAAUUUGGUCAAUCUGAUGUAUUAGUUGUGAAAUUAAAAAUAAGGAAAGAGGCAUUUUUGCAGGGAAGUGAUAGCCAUGGCGUUCUGAGCAAGAAGCUUAUGGAGCUGAGCGUUGAGCUAAAGUAAUUGAUGACAAAUUAAUUAAGUCUUUUAGUAUAUGAUAUGAUAUGAUAUUACAGAUGGAGACAAAUAAGUAUUAAUUUGUUAUAUAUAUAUAUAUAUACAUCAGACAACUUGAGGGAGAAAAUCUGCAAGGGCUUGGGCUGCCCAGUCUCAUGAAGCUUGAGAAAUUGGUGGAGGGAGGAAUAAGCCGCAUCAGAAAAACUAAGGUACACUACACGCAUAUAUAUAUAUAUAUAUAUAGCCCGAUUUCAUCUUCUUCUUUAAUUCAAUUGGUGGCAGAAUGAGAGGCUCGACCACGAAAUAAAGAAGCUCAGGACAAGGGCAAGUGCUACCUUAUCUUCUACCUAAUAUAUUUAGAGCCGCCACCAUUUUCAUCAUUAAUUUCAUGUUUGGAUGAUGCAGGAAUUGGAAUUGAUGGAAGAAUUGAAGAAACAGGUCAUUUUACUACCCACUUUCUUUAAUUUACCAGCAUUUAUAGCUUAAUUAUGACAUUUUUUAAUUCUUCAUUUUAACAUCUAUACAUAUGUGCUCACUUCAAAUAUAUAUACUACUACUACAUACCAUGUUAUAUAGGAUAGAAAUUAUAUGAAUUUUGACUUAAAUGAAUCUGCAUUUUGAGGCGCAGAAAUCCAGCACAAGAAAUGCUUUUGACCAAGGAAUUACGCCUAUUGCCAACUGCAAUGGCUCAGACACAUUCCUCAAGCUGGGGUAAUUAAUGCUUAUAACUAUUACUUCUAUUAAUGAUGUCUGAAUUUUUAUUUGAAAAAUUAAAUAAAUAAAUCGAAAUUUUCCCUAUUAAACUAGUUUUUGUGGGUGGCUACGUAGAUUUAUUGAAAUUUAUAUCGUUGCCACAUUCGAAAAAAGUGAUCAUAUUGGCGUGAUAUUGUCUCAGUGAUCAUAUGAUAGAACUUAAACUAUUAUGACCUCUCUGUGUUUGCAGGCUGCCCUAUUCCAACUGCAAUUGAGGUGAAACAGCGCAAUUAUUGAGAUAUAUAGUAAUACUACAUUUAUAUUUUAUGUAAAGUUUGAUAUAUUUCGGAUGCAUGAUUCUGGCUCUUGAUGACCUGGUUUAUCGCCAUGCAAUAACACAUCACAUAGGAAGUACUACAAUAAACUAAAUUUAUUGUAUCCCUCUAAAAUAGAGGAAUAAUAUUAUAAACUAUAUAUUUAUCACUUAAUAAAGUG